rnacentral:misc_RNA from 1 species
UUAUCUUUAGAAAAGGAGUUGGUAUUAGGCACAGACUUCUAGCCCAUAACACCUAGCAUCGCCACACCCUCAAGGGUACUCAGCAGUGAUAAACAUUGACACUAAGCGACAGCUUGACUCAGUUAAAGUACAGAAAGCCGGCCAACCCGGUGCCAGCCGCCGCGGCUACACCAUCGGGCUUAAAUUGAUAACUACGGCGUUAAGCGUGUUUAAAGUAACAAAAACUUUAGAAUUAAAUCUAAGCCAAGCUGUGAAAUGCUUGCCCCUCAGAAAUACAUAAUAUUCUAACAUCCACUUGAAUCCACGACAAUUAAGAAACAAACUGGGAUUAGAUACCCCACUAUGCUUAACCGUAAAAUAUAAAAAUUACACCACCAAAUCGCCAGAACACUACAAGUAAACAACUUAAAAUUCAAAGGACUUGACGGCGUCUCACCUACCUAGAGGAGCCUGUUCUAUAAUCGAUAUUCCCCGAUAUACCCUACCACUUUUUGCCUUAUCAGUCUAUAUACCUCCGUCGUAAGCUUACCAUAUGAAUGUUAAUUAGUGAGCAAAAAGAUUUAUACACCCAUACGUCAGGUCAAGGUGCAACCUAAAAAAUGGAAUGAAAUGGGCUACAGUUUCUAAUUUAGAACCUACGAAUAAUCACAUGAAAAAUGAUGAUGAAGGCGGAUUUAGAAGUAAGGAGUGAUUAAAAUGCCCUCCUUAAUUUAAGCAAUGAGACGCGUACACACCGCCCGUCACCCUCUUCAAUAUAACCUUUAACUGUUUAUAACCAUACACUUUACUAAAGAAGAGGUAAGUCGUAACAUGGUAAGCAUACUGGAAAGUGUGCUUUGAAUAACAAAAUAUAGCUUAAUUUAAAGCAUUUCGCUUACACCGAACUUAUACCUGUUUAAUUCAGGUUAUUUUGAGCUUAAACUCCGCCAAUUAAUUACCCAAUUUUUUCUCCUCUCUCCCCACAUCCUAAAACAUUUUAACAAUUUAGUAAAAGUGAUUGAAAACUUAAUAAGAGCCCGCAUAAAGUACCGCAAGGGAAAAAUGAAAUAGAAAUGAAAUAAACAAAAAGCAAAUAAAAGCAGAGAUUUACACUCGUACCUUUUGCAUCAUGGUCUAGCUAGUCUUUUACAAGCAAAUUAUUCUAUUCAGCUUGUACCCCCGAAACCAAGCGAGCUACUCAAAAACAGCCUAAAGGGCCAACCCGUCUCUGUAGCAAAAGAGUGGGAAGAUUUUUAAGUAGAGGUGAAAUGCCUACCGAGCCUGGAGAUAGCUGGUUGCUCAAGAAAAGAAUUUUAGUUCCCCCUCAAAUUUUUACUAUAACCACAAAUAUAAAAUAACUUUGAGAGCCAUUCAAAUACGGUACAGCCUAUUUGAUAAUGAAUACAAUCAUAAACUUAGGGUAAUAUUAUUAUACUAUUUCAACCUAGUUGGCCUAAAAGCAGCCACCUCAUACAAAGAGCGUUACAGCCUAACUGAUUUAUUUUGUAAUACCAACCUUCACAUAAAACCCUACCCCAAUACUGAGCACUUUUAUAACCUAUAAAUAAUAUUAUGCUAGAACUAGUAACAAGAAAAUUUCUCCAAAAUGUAAGUAUAACUCAAAUAUGAACUUUAUUAUAAUAUAUGUAAUAACUUAUCCAGAAACCCUUACAACCAUAUAAUAUUAAACUUACACAAGAACAUUCCCGGAAAGAUUAAAAUAAAAAGAAGGAACUCGGCAAACCUUAGUCUCGCCUGUUUACCAAAAACAUCACCUCUUGAUCAACUAUAAGAGGCCCAGCCUGCCCAGUGAUUAUUUCAACGGCCGCGGUACCCUAACCGUGCAAAGGUAGCACAAUCACUUGUUCUUUAAAUAAGGACUAGUAUGAACGGCACCACGAAGACCAUGCUGUCUCCUUUCUCUAAUCAGUGAAACUGAUCUCCCCGUGAAGAAGCGGGGAUUAUUCUAUAAGACGAGAAGACCCUAUGAAGCUUAAAAUUUACAUCAACUGCCACCCACACACCACCUCAACCUGACAGACCUGAUUAUUAAUUUUUGGUUGGGGUGACCACGGAGCAAAAUUAAACCUCCACAAUGAAAGGACUAAACCCCCUAAUUCAAGAAUUACACCUCUAAAAAUCAAUAUAUUGACAUAAAUUGAUCCAAACCUUUGAUCAAUGAACCAAGUUACUCUAGGGAUAACAGCGCAAUCCAUUUCAAGAGCCCCUAUCGACAAAUGGGUUUACGACCUCGAUGUUGGAUCAGGGUGUCCCAGUGGUGCAACCGCUACUAAAGGUUCGUUUGUUCAACGAUUAAAACCCUACGUGAUCUGA